ACAAAACCCCACAGCUCCUAAGAAUUCUCUCACCUGCCUUCUGCCCUUAAGCUCCGGUAGAUUGCAAAUAACCUGCUUUCUUUCUGUUCCUGAGCUGCGUUCGGACCCCUGUCGUAUUGUAAAUCCCACGCAAGGUACCUGCCGUCGGAAGAUUUGAGCUUUCUUCUUGAACACCUCAUACCCACAGUCCUCCAGAGAAAACACAAGGACAAACCCUACUGUGAAGCAGUGGAGACUGGAGUCCUGCAUUUGCUGAACUUUCUUUUUAUGUGUUGGAUUCUGAUUUUAUAUUCAUUUCCAUUCAUGUGGACUCUGAAGAGUUAAACUCACUAAGGACACUUGAAGAAGUCACGUCCAGGGAUCACUGUCAUCACAGAUGGAGAAAAGGCCAAUGUCUUUCCAUGCUGCCUCACCAGAAAAGGACUGAGUUGAGAUAUUUUACAGCUGAGAAGGAAAUUAUGCAGCCUGUAGGAUAAAUUCCUCUCCUGGCAGAUUGAGUGGAUGUAGCACCAGAAGCUCCCAGAAUAAUCAGAACUU
rnacentral:lncRNA from 10 species